rnacentral:rRNA from 1 species
AUUGAACGCUGGCGGCAUGCUUUACACAUGCAAGUCGAACGGCAGCGGGGAGGAGCUUGCUUCUCUGCCGGCGAGUGGCGAACGGGUGAGUAAUACAUCGGAACGUGUCGAGAAGAGGGGGAUAACCACCCGAAAGGGUGGCUAAUACCGCAUAAAUUCUGAGGAAGAAAGCUGGGGACCUAGGAAUAGGCCUAGCGCUUUUUGAGCGGCCGAUGUCGGAUUAGCUAGUUGGUGAGGUAAAGGCUCACCAAGGCGAAGAUCUGAAGCGGGUCUGAGAGGAUGAUCCGCCACACUGGGACUGAGACACGGCCCAGACUCCUACGGGAGGCAGCAGUGGGGAAUUUUGGACAAUGGGGGCAACCCUGAUCCAGCCAUGCCGCGUGUAUGAAGAAGGCCUUAGGGUUGUAAAGUACUUUUGUUAGGGAAGAAAAGUCAGCUGUGAAUAAUGGCUGAUACUGACGGUACCUAAAGAAUAAGCACCGGCUAACUACGUG